rnacentral:rRNA from 1 species
CCUACGGGAGGCAGCAGUGAGGAAUAUUGGUCAAUGGGCGCGAGCCUGAACCAGCCAAGUAGCGUGCAGGAUGACGGCCCUAUGGGUUGUAAACUGCUUUUAUGCGGGGAUAAAGUGCACCACGUGUGGUGUUUUGUAGGUACCGCAUGAAUAAGCACCGGCUAAAUACGUGCCAGCAGCCGCGGUAAUA